UCUCCGUAGGUGAACCUGCGGAAGGAUCAUUAUUGUGUAACCGAGGUGCGAGGGCUGUCGCUGACCCGAAAGGUCGUGCACGCCCGAGUGCCCUCACACACAUCCAUCUCACCCCUAUGUGCACCACCGCGUGGGUCCCCCUUUGGCUUGUUCGGAGGGGGGCUUACGUUUUCACACAAACUUUGUAUGCAGUGUAGAAUGUAUUUUUUGUUUUUGCGAUCACGCAAUCAAUACAACUUUCAACAACGGAUCUCUUGGCUCUC
rnacentral:misc_RNA from 1 species